rnacentral:rRNA from 1 species
CGGACGGGUGAGUCACACGUGGGUGACCUACCCUCGGGUGAGGGAUACCGGCGAGAAAUCGCCGACAAGCCCGCAUAGGCUCUCUGAGGUCGAGCUCAGAGAGCAAAGCCGGCCUCUUUUCGGAGAGGGCGGUGCCCGGGGAGGGGCCUGCGGCCGAUUAGCUGGUUGGUGGGGUAAGAGCUCACCAAGGCGACGAUCGGGAGCUGGUCUGAGAGGAUGAUCAGCCACACUGGGAUUGAGAACGGCCCAGACUCCUACGGGGGGCAGCAGUGAGGAAUUUUCCGCAAUGGUCGAAAGACUGACGGAGCAACGCCGCGUGCAGGAGGACGCGCUUCGGCGUGUAAACUGCUUUUCCCAGGGACGAGAUCGGACGGUACCUGGGGAAGAAGCCCCGGCUAACUACGUGCCAGCAGCCGCGGUAAUACGUAGGGGGCGAGCGUUGUCCGGAGUUACUGGGCGUAAAGGGCAUGCAGGCGGCGGCGCGCGUUUCGCGUGACAGCGGAUGGCUUAACUGUCCGAGGGUGCGAAAGACGGCGCGGCUGGGGGGCCAGAGAGGGACACGGAAUUCCGGGUGGAGUGGUGAAAUGCGUAGAGAUCCGGAGGAACACCGAAGGCGAAGGCAGUGUCCUGGCUGGUACCUGACGCUGAGGUGCGAAAGCCAGGGGAGCGAACGGGAUUAGAUACCCCGGUAGUCCUGGCCGUAAACGAUGACCACGCGGUGUGGGAGGUAUCGACCCCUUCCGUGCCUAAGGAAACCCGGUAAGUGGUC